AUUAUAGAGUUCAGUGGCCGCCAACAAAUGUCAUUUUGUUGUGUUUGUAUCAUUGGGUUUGCCGGUUUUCCCAGAGUGCAAAUAGGUAGAUAAUUUUAUUUAACUCACCAGUGAUCAGUUUGUCUUUACAUAAAAAACAUUUUUUCAUAUUGGUGAUAUUCAUGCAAUCACAAAUCAAAAUUAUCGGUGCUGUUCCCUAUAUCUUUUUUUAACUAAUGAAUAUAUUUUUUAACUAAUGAAACCAAAGUGCUGAGGUGGACGUCUGUCAUCUAGGCUUUGUGGCUACUGGCUAGUACUCGCCCUGAACCAUAAACAUGCAAUAUCAAUGAUCAGCUGUUUCACUUUGCAGCAUCAGCAUGGCAGAAGAUAAAGAUUGCUCGGAGGGACCUAAGGUUGAUUGUCAAGAUGCCAGUGUGAUCACAAGCACCAAACUGCAGCCACUUUCAGAGGAACAGCAUGCACUACUGAAGAAACAAGAGUCACGGGGCCUUGUGAGUGAGUUCAAACGGCUCAAGUUGGAACAAGAAGCAGCGAAGAAUUGGGAUAAGUUUUACAAACGCAAUGAGACAAGAUUUUACAAAGACCGCCACUGGACCACACGAGAGUUCAAAGAGUUGGUUGGAUGCGUACAAGACGGAAAACAGAAAGUUCUUUUUGAGAUAGGCUGUGGGGUUGGCAACUUCUUCUAUCCUCUUAUAGAGGAUGGUCUUGACUGGUAUGUGCACGCCUGUGACUUUUCACAGAGAGCCAUUGACUUUGUUAAGUCACAUCAGUUAUAUGAUGACUCACGGGUACAUGCCUUUGUUCAUGACAUCACCUCAAAAUCACUGUCAGAACAAGUACCAGAUGGGUCUGUGGAUAUAGUGUCUCUGAUCUUUGUUCUCUCUGCAAUCAAUCCAGACAAGCUGUGCUCUGUCGUCAAAAACAUCUCACAAUGCGUCAGGGAUGGAGGCAUGGUAAUCAUCCGUGAUUAUGGAAGAUACGACGUUGCUCAGCUACGCUUUGGGGCUGGCCACAAGCUGUCAGAAAACUUCUAUGUGCGACAAGAUGGUACAAGGGCCUACUACUUCACCACGGACGAGCUGACGUCGCUGUUUACUGAAGCCGGCUUCGACGUGACGUCUUGCGAGUAUGUCUCGCGACGAACUGUCAACAAGAAGGAGGGCGUCGACGUAUCCCGCACCUUUGUCCAGGGGAAGUUUCGGAGAAGAGCAAGGUAACAGUUUGGAUAGCGCGGCCCUCUGGAAAACGUUUUUGGUGGAGUGGAAUAGUCUGGAUCGCCGUCGGGUUUCGUUUCAGGGCAUGGCAGCACUCCGCCAAAGCAAGGCCGAUGCUCGCAUCCAGCUCCGCUCCAUUCCCGAUAAAAAAGUUUACGAGAGCGUUUUCUCUCGUCUCCGCGUUGACUGAUGCGAUGCGAUCUGACAUCUGUUGACCCGAAGAGGAGUGGUGCGAUGAACCGGAUGACGCUGUCAAGUCUCUCAUGUGUGAUUUGAACUAUAAAAAGGCGCAAAUAUAUUUUUGGAAAACAGA